GUGCAGAUGAAACAGACCAUUAACAUGCUCGAGCAUGUAGUGUACCAAGGGAUGUAGAUGGUGAAUGAUUUAAUAGUCGCAUCCAAGUCUACCCCUCCUGGGUUUUGCUUGAUGGAUGUCAGAAGACUGACUAUACUGAAAAUCCUUGUGGUGCUGUUCAGGUCCUUACCCCUCAACUACUUCAGGGAUAUUUACUGGAUUUUUGGGAGUUUGCCUAGUUCUUGCAGAGGAUACUGCAGGCAGAGCUGACCUUAACGGGACACGGACUUUGCUCGAAGGUCUCUGGGCACCCACAGCUGUCAGUCAAUUCCACAGGGACUUCCAGAAUUUCACGUGCAGCCUAAGCAGCUAUAUUAAGGUCAGUGACAACCUUGCCUGCUCCUUCUGCCUCUGAUAUAAAGCGUGUACUUGCUAUGGAGAGAUGGAUGCAAUAUUCUUAUUCCCACUGGACUGGCUUCUUAGCAAUUAUUACAGCCAUUUGCUGUAGGGAAUAAGGACUGUAAAACCUCACCUGGAGAAAACUUCCCCUUAAAAUAUCCCUCUGUUCUGUGAAAUGACCUUGUGAGAAUAAUGUGGAGCUUGAGAUGGACGGAAAUUGUUCUGUUAGAACAGAGUUGUUUAGCAGGUUUUAGGUUAAUAUCAUUAAUGCGUUUUAGUCUGGUUAUAUGAGGCUAAAGUGCAACCACCAAAUUCUUCUCGUCAGCUCUGCAAGGAGUCUGGCAGAAAACAGUCUGUUUUAUUUCUGGCCUGUGAAUCAUGA